GGGGGCGAUAUGGUUGUUCGACUAGCUAAGACCCUACGGGGAACUAGUUAGGACCACGGUUCGAUUCCGUGCGCCUCCUCCA
rnacentral:tRNA from 1 species